ACACCGCCGGAAACGGAAAUUCACAGUGGCGCCGACUCGGCGGAGGGAAACAAGAAGACAGAAAAAAGAGACCGGCGCCUGGAGGACGUUCAGGGGAAAGCUGGAAGGAAAACUCCCCAACAGCUGAGUGCGGGCGCAGGUGCCGUCUGCGCAGUGCAUUCCGCCGGGUCCGCGUCCCUGCUGAUUCCGCCACACCCUGCUCUCGGAAUCCGCUGUCUCAACUCCCGCGAGGAUAUUAAUGGACACGCCUGUGUUACUGGUAAACCCAUCAGCCAAGGUGGAAUCGAUGGAUGCAUCUCUGCUACUGGCUGUGGUGUCUUCCAUGGGAUUGAAAACUUCAUCAAUGAAGCUUCUUAAUGAGCAUUUUAGGAAUGACACCAGGGUUUGGAGAUAAAAUAUUUGUUGUUAAGGGAUUUGGUAACGUGGGCCUACACUCUAUGAGAUAUUUACAUCGUUUUGGUGCUAAAUGUAUUGCUGUUGGUGAGUCUGAUGAGAGUAUAUGGAAUCCAGAUGGUAUUGACCCAAAGGAACUGGAAGACUUCAAAUUGCAACAUGGGUCCAUUCUGGGCUUCCCCAAGGCAAAGCCCUAUGAAGGAAGCAUCUUGGAGGCCGACUGUGACAUACUGAUCCCAGCGCCAGUGAGAAGCAGUUGACCAAACCAACUCACCCAGAGUCAAAGCCAAGAUCGUUGCUGAAGGUGCCAAUGGGCCAACAACUCCAGAAGCGGACAAGAUCUUCCUGGAGAGAAACAUUAUGGUUAUUCCAGAUCUCUACUUGAAUGCUGGAGGAGUGACAGUAUCUUACUUUGAGUGGCUGAAGAAUCUAAGUCAUGUCAGCUAUGGCCAUUUGACCUUCAAAUAUGAAAGGGAUUCUAACUACCACUUGCUCAUGUCUGUUCAAGAGAGUUUAGAAAGAAAAUUUGGAAAGCAUCGUGGAACUGUUCCCAUUAUACCCACAGCAGAGUUCCAAGACAGGAUAUCGCAAAUUAUGCGCACAGCCAUGAAGUAUAACCUGGGAUUGGACCUGAGAACAGCUGCCUAUGUCAAUGCCAUUGAGAAAGUCUUCAAAGUGUACAAUGAAGCUGGUGUGACCUUCACAUAGAUGGAUCAUGGCUGACUUCCUCACUACCCUCUUCACUUGUAACUUCUGCAGAGCUGUCACAAGUUUACAUGUAACCACAGAAAUCCCUUUCUCUCCUGACUCAGUAGUAAUGGAUACCAUUCUCAACAAGUCAAUGCAAAUCAGCCCCUGAAGGAGAAAGAAGUUAAGGUUAGGGGAUCAUGUACAAGCUGAGUGUGAAAGUAGAAAUCACCUACACCAGAGAGCCAUUUUGGUAUUUUGCCUUUAAAUAAAAAGUCUCCUCCAUCUGGCUGUGCAGCCUUGCUCUGUGGCUUUUCCCAACACAAUCAGUGCUAUUGCUGGGGAAGGGACAGUCAAGAGCAGUCAGUUGCUUGCUUAUUUUGCACUGGAUGAGUCUGGGACACGCUGUAACUUUAACACAUUUAAGAAGUAGGUGUGUGGCCUUUUCAGAAGGUGGCAUGGUCCUCAAGUGAGUUCUUAGCAUUUUAUAUCAGCAAAAUAACUCAAUUUUGCAGGUUGCAAACAAAUAUAAAAGCUGUUUCUGUUUAUGAAUUCUAUUCUUUUAGAAUAAAAUAAGUAUAUGCUGCUGUAAUAAAAUUGUCCUUUAAUCACUUAA